GAACCAGGGUGCAGGGACUCACCAUUAGCCAAAUGUGCUAGCACCUUGAUCUUGGACUUCCAGCCACCAGAACUUACACAUUUAGCAGAUCCUUAUGGACAACCACAGAGCGGGGAUCAAUUGAAGUACUCUCGUCUCUGGCACUUUUGAGGAAGAAGAUGCAACCCUUCAAUGGCUCUCCCACUUCCAAUGCGGAUCACUCAAAGAGCUGGACACCUUUGAAAAAAAUGACUUUCAUCGUGACAGAAACAUAUUACCUGCAAACAAAGCUGAGAGAAAAGA